rnacentral:rRNA from 1 species
UGCAAGUCGAACGCGAAAGUCCCGCAAGGGAUCAGUAGAGUGGCAAGCGGGUGAGUAACGCGUGGGUGACCUGCCUUCGAGCGGGGGAUAACGUCCCGAAAGGGACGCUAAUACCGCAUAACAUCCGACCUUUGAACAGGUGGAGAUCAAAGCUGGGGAUCGCAAGACCUAGCACUCGAAGAGGGGCCCGCGUCUGAUUAGCUAGUUGGUGAGGUAACGGCUCACCAAGGCGACGAUCAGUAUCCGGCCUGAGAGGGCGGACGGACACACUGGGACUGAGACACGGCCCAGACUCCUACGGGAGGCAGCAGUGGGGAAUUGUUCGCAAUGGGCGCAAGCCUGACGACGCAACGCCGCGUGGAGGAUGAAGACCUUCGGGUCGUAAACUCCUUUCGAUCGAGACGAAUGGCCUCCGGGUGAACAAUCCGGAGGAAUGACGGUACCGAGAGAAGAAGCCCCGGCUAACUCCGUGCCAGCAGCCGCGGUAAUAC